GGGGGGGGGGGGGGGGGGGGGGGGGGGGGGGGGGGGGGGGGGGGGGGGCGGGGUGGGGGGGGGACGGGUGAGUAACACGUGCGAACGUGGCGUGAGGGGGGGGGAAACGCAGGGGAACUUGUGAUCAUCCCGUAGUGGCCCUUAGGGGGAAAGAUUGAUCGCCUUUAGGGCGGGCGGCGUCUGAUUAGCUAGGUGGGUGGGGUAGGGGCUCUGCUAGGAGACGAUCAGUAGCGGGUGUGAGAGUAGGAUCAGCCACAUUGGGACUGCGACACGGCCCAAAUGCGUACGGGAGGCAGCAGUGGGGAAUCUUGCGCAAUGAGCGAAAGCCUCACGAAGCCAUGCCGCGUGAAUGAUGAAGGUCUUAGGAUUGUAAAAUUCUUUCCCCGGGGACGAUAAUGACGGGCCCCGGAGAAGAAGCCCCGGCUAACUUGGUG
rnacentral:rRNA from 1 species